UACGGGGGAGCAAGCGUUGUUCGGAUUUACUGGGCGUAAAGGGCGGGUAGGCGGCCACCGCAAGUCAGUUGUGAAAUCUCUGGGCUUAACCCAGAAAGGUCAACUGAUACUGCGGGGCUAGAGUGCAGAAGGGGCAACUGGAAUUCUCGGUGUAGCGGUGAAAUGCGUAGAUAUCGAGAGGAACACCUGCGGCGAAGGCGGGUGCUGGGCUGACACUGACGCUGAACUGCGAAAGCUAGGGGAGCGAACGGG
rnacentral:rRNA from 1 species